UACGUAGGGGGCAAGCGUUAUCCGGAUUUACUGGGUGUAAAGGGAGCGUAGACGGCUGUGCAAGCCAGAUGUGAAAGCCCGGGGCUCAACCCCGGGACUGCAUUUGGAACUGUGUAGCUGGAGUGUCGGAGAGGCAGGCGGAAUUCCUGGUGUAGCGGUGAAAUGCGUAGAUAUCAGGAGGAACACCGGCGGCGAAGGCGGCCUGCUGGACCGUGACUGACGUUGAGGCUCGAGAGCGUGGGGAGCAAACAGG
rnacentral:rRNA from 1 species